UCGAAGGUAGCAUAAUCAGUAGUUUUUUAAUUGAAAACUUGUAUGAAUGGUUCAACGAAAUAUUAACUGUUUCAUAAAAAUUUAUAUAGAAAUUAAUUUUUUAGUAAAAAAGCUAAAAUAUAAUUAAAAGACGAGAAGACCCUAUAGAGUUUCAUAUUAUUUAUUUUUUAAUUUAUUAAUAAUAAUUAAAAUUUAAAUUUAAGUAAUAUUUUGUUGGGGUGACAAUAAAAUUUUAUAAUCUUUUAUUAUUUUUUAACAAUGAUUUUUGAUUAGUUGAUCCAUUAUUAAUGAUUAAAAGAUUAAAUUACCUUAGGGAUAACAGCGUAAUUUUUUUGAAGAGUUCUUAUCGAUAAAAAAUUUUGCGACCUCGAUGUUGGAUUAA
rnacentral:rRNA from 1 species